rnacentral:lncRNA from 1 species
AAAGUCAUUAGAGAAUCAUUUGACAAUUAUAUUGAUCAAAGUCUACUUCUGAAUUAGAUCGAUUCAAUACCAACCUAGUUCAACUCAACUUAACCAAAUACCAAUCUGAGCUAACCUGAAUUGACUCUUGAUGAAGCAUUAUGAUCAGUGCAGGUUAUCUACCGACUCACUGUAUGGGAUAUCGGUCCAGAACCAAUGUGAUCUCAAAAUACAGAUGGUUAUUUUACAGCUGUCUUCUAGCUUGCUAUAGCCAUGAUACAACUCAUCGUCAUUUGGAUAUGUGGCAAUAGAUUAUUAUCUAAAGUAAAUGUUCUCUCAUAUUACAUCAGCCCA